rnacentral:rRNA from 1 species
AACGUAGGAGACAACCGUUAUCCGGAGUUACUGGGCGUAAAGGGUGCGUAGGCGGCGCGGUAAGUCGGGUGUGAAAUCUCGGAGCUUAACUCCGAAACUGCAUUCGAUACUGCCGUGCUCGAGGACUGGAGAGGAGACUGGAAUUUACGGUGUAGCGGUGAAAUGCGUAGAUAUCGGAAGGAAGACCAGUGGCGAAGGCGGGUCUCUGGACAGUUCCUGACGCUGAGGCACGAAGGCCAGGGGAGCAAACGGG